rnacentral:lncRNA from 1 species
GUUAAGUAGCAUUUAUCAAGAAAUUUUCAGGAGAAAAGAUCAGUCUGUUCUCAUCAUUGUUAUGUAUAAAACUAAGUAGUAAGCAUUUUUCUUACAGCAUUGGAACUCAUUGAAAGAUUGCAUGGCAUAAACAGGAACGAAUAAAACCAACAUCUUUUUUGAUAUAAAUGCCAAUCUUUUGUUAAGUAACACUGUAAAAAUUAGCUAUGCGUAUAAGGAAGUAGUAAACUGCUCUGGGGGGGAAAAAAAAACAUAAGUGGUGAAAGUAGGCAUCCUUGUUCCUGAUCUUGGAGCAAAGAUCUUCAGUCUUUCACUACAAUGUUGUUACUAAUGGGCUUUUUGUAUAUGGCUCUGUGUUUAGAAUGCUAACUAUUACACAUAUGCUCUUAGUAGGCUUUCCCAAAUUCCAAUUAUUAUCCAAACUGUCCUGGGUUCCUCCAUCAGUUGAAUAACGUUCUUUUGUUUUAUUAUCACAUUUUCAUUUUAAGGUGGCUUAAGUUUGGCUAUUUCCUGAUGAUCACCAUUUUAAAUAAUUGCUAAUACUGAAUACUUACAGUUUGCUAGACACUAUCUUGUCAUUGUUACCUGUUCCAGAAAGGGAAGCCAAGAUUGAGUGGAAUUAACUUGUUCAGUGUCACAGGCUAGAACAUGGUGGAAUCAAAGCAAGAGCUUGACUCUAAUCUGUUUCUUUAUUAUACCAUACUACCUCUUGCAAAAAGUACAUCUGAGGGAAGGGUACAAAAUUCCAGAGUCGUCUUCAGAGAGACGCUGCUGGCAACUCCCUAAAGGUAUCUAAAGCAAAAGACUCAUCAAUGCAAGUAGCACUGCCAUUAGUCACAGCCCUGGCUACUCCCUAGUGCAGGACAUAUGAGUGGAUACUUCUAAGCCUAACAUUCUAUGAGGAACUAAUUAAAAAGCAUCCCAGGGAAACUGGAUUCCUCAAUACUCCUCAAAGUAUAGUUCAUGCAUCUUCAAAGAUUAUCUCUGGUCUCUGAUCCUUUACCAAAUUUAAGCAAAUCUGCAGAGAUGGGUCUUAGGAAUCUACAUUUGAAACUGACUUCCCUAAUGACUCUUAAGAGAACCACUGCUCUGAGCAUUUGGGUGGCUCUGCCAGGUGCAUGUGAAGAAUGGGGAAGUGCUGGAGGGGCUUCAGUGAAGGGUGUGUAUACAUUGGUUAUGCUGCCUUCCAGGUGCUGCUAGAUUCCUCAUUAAGGAGCUGUCAUAUCACAACCUAGAACUGGAGAGGAACCGCCUGGAGGAGCUGGGAGUUAAACGCCAGUGUGUCUGGCCUUUCAUCGUUGUGAUGGAUGAUUCGUGUGUCCUAUGGAACAUUCACAGUGUUCAGGAGCAGACCAGGUAGUGAUUCUUCCAAGCAGUUCUAGGGGAGUACAACACAAUGCUAACAAAGAAGAUAAUUUUUCUUGGCUGCAGUUACAUAUAGAGUAAAAAACAGAGUUACAGCUUUCCAGAGAGCAAGGUCAACACCCUCACGAGUACAUUUUGAGAUGACUUAAAGGAUUUUUUUUAUUUAGACAUUCAGUAUGCCAUUAAAUUCCUAGACUAUUUCUGCAUCACAGUGUUGGUCAACUAUCAAUCUGUUAAAAACUUAUCAUUUAUCUAGAAACACUGCUGGCUUCUGAAUCAGGAGACCUGCUUUUAUAGUCCCAGCUAUUUCUCAACGAUGUGGGUGAAGAAGAAAAGUCAUUGAAUCUCUCAAGUCCUUCACCUGUAAAAUUAUGGCAGGGCCAAAAUCAGUUGUUGUUGUUGUCCAAGAACACUGCUGCCCUCCUAUGGGGCAUUUGAGGAUGUCAUGAUGUUAGGAGGCAGUCAUUGGGGGUUCAUAAGGACCAGGGAAUGCUAAACAUUCUAAAAUCCUACACAAUAAACAACCCCAUGAGUUCAGUGGUGUCCCCACUCAAAAUAUUGUGCCAGAUGACCUCUACGUCCUUUCCAGCUCAAGAACUGUGAUUUUUCAGUCCUUGUUUCCAUUGCGGAUGUGAAACCAAUGAAUUUUUCACAUGUUCCUCUAUUACCAGAGCAUACUUUCAUGCUUUUAACUUCUGGCUUUCUUUGGUAACUACUGUUCAUUUACUUUCAAACAUAGCUGGAUUCCUUCCCGUCUUCAUCGUGUGAUAAAUCCUGGCCCCUAAAAGACAGGCUCUACAACUUCCUAGUGACAGGCAGUGUCAACACUGAGCUUAAACACUGUUCUCUAUUCUAGGCUAAUACAAAGCAAGUUGGCUCAUUAUGACCAUUACAGUAUUAUUAUUGCACAGCAGUGUUGGUCCUUCAUAAAUGGUCCUCUCUUCAGUAAUAAAUUUAUUGACAUUUUAUAUAAACUAACAUUUUAUAGCCAGUCCAUGGAAGCAGGAGUGUCCAGUAAGAAUGUGUCCUUGAAGAGUGUCUUGCAGCAUAUUGAAGCCACACCAAAAAUCAUCCACUACGCAAUCCUGGGUAUACAGAAAUGGAGCAGCAAGCUGACUUCUCAGAGUCUCAAGGCCCCAUUCUCUAGGUGCCAUGUGCAUGAUUUCAUUCUUCUCAACAUAGACUUGACUCAGAAUGUGCAGUAUGACUUCAACAGGUAGGUCAGGCCUCAUGGAUGCAAGUACUCUUGGCAUCUAAUGAUUGUUUAUGCCCAGUUCCAGCCUCAGCAAUGUUUUUAUUCCUUCAUCUGUCUUGGAUUGUAAGCCCCUUCAUCACCCUUUGAACCACCUAGAUCCUUAGAUGUUAGAGUGCAAAAUACUUAGAAAACAUACUUUAGCCAUGUUAUUAUCCAACGAGAACUAAAAUAGGCACAAAAACUGUUUGUAAGACUAAAAUCCUUAUCCUCAGAACUCACAAGAAAAUUCCUUCCCAAAAAUGUUAGUAAAACCCAGAGAUCUGGAUCCUAUAAGGAAAAGGUAGCAGAUGAGUAUAAGGCAGGCUAGCCCUGGCCUUGCCUCCUGAAUAAAUUAUGUCCAUAUUCCUGGAAAAUCAGAGAAAGACUAUGAAUUACAGUGGAUGGGGUAGAGAGAGAAGAUGGGAGGGGAGGGAGGGGGGAUGGUAGAGGAUAGGAAAGGUAGCAGAAUACAACAGUUACUAAUAGGGCAUUAUGUAAAAAUGUGGAUGUGUAACCGAUGUGAUUCUGCAAUCUGUAUUUGGGGUAAAAUUGGGAGUUCAUAACCAACUUGAAUCUAAUGUAUGAAAUAUGAUAUGUCAAGAGCUUUAUAAUGUUUUGAACAACCAAUAAAAAAAAUUAAAAAAAAAAAGAAAUUUGCAUAUUCCCAGUAUCUAGGGACAAAAAAAAAAAAAAAAAAUGCCAGGAACCAUAAAGCCCCUCCCAUGUCAACCCUUGACAUUGUAGCCAUUAGAAUUUAACUACUGCUUCCACUUCCUUGUUUUCAAUUUGGCAGAUGCUUUGUCUUGUUUGAACCCAGAGUAUACAAAAUAUAAACUACUGCUUCUGCACAGGAAUACCUAAAACCCUGUAGCAUAUUUAACAAAAAUAAUUUCAUUUCCUCCUCCAAUGGCUGUGAUGCUCAAAUUAGGAGUUUUCAUGGGUCAGUGCUAUGAGGACCAGCUCCAUAAGGGCAAGGACAAUUGUUUUGCGCUCUCCCUAACAUCUGCCAUAAUUUCUCUGUGUAUAGUUGGCAUGGGUGACGAUGUGACAAGCAAAGAAAUCUACCUAUCAUUGUGAUUAUGAUCUAGGUAUUUCUGUGAAGAUGUUGACUUUAACCUGAGAACAAACAGUAGUGGCCUGCUCAUCUGUCGCUUUAAUAACUUCAGCCUCAUGAAGAAACAUGUUCAGGUUGGCGGGCAAAGGGACUUUAUCAUUAAACCAAAGAUCAUGGUAAGAUUUGCAAGCUUGAUUCUGUUGAAAAUAAACAUAAUUCUUUCUGAUAUAUUUGUUAUUAGAUACUGGCAUUAAGCACUUUCCACGUUAGUAGAAAGUAAAGUAAACCAAGGGAGUUCUUUCUUUUUAAAGUUUUUUUUAGGUUUUUUAGUUCUGAGUGGACACAAUAUCUUUAUUUAUUUUUAUGUGGUGCUGAGGAUUGAACUCAGUGCCUCACACAUGCCAGGCAAGUGCUCUACCACUGUUAGCUAUGACCCCAGCCCCCAAGGGAGUUCUUGAUGUUAUCUAGGGAUUCACCUAGAGCCAAAACAAAAGUUUUAACAAUAUAAUUAUUUUUCUUUAGAUUUAAGAAAGUUUUCAUCAAAGUUUUAGUUUCAAAAUGGCAAACUUUACAUUUUGGUAUUCCUAGGUAAUUAACAUGAGAGAGAAAUUUAAAUCAAGAUGCAAGUCUGAUCCUUUCCCAGAUUUAUUUUUACAUAGUAAUACAGAUCAAAAUAAGAGUGAAUUUAACGUAAAGAGUGAAUUCCAUGAGCCUACUUUUUUCUAAGAGAUUUACUAAUACCUGAUCACUUACAGCAUGUGAACUGUCCAGUGGAUCUUAGAAACCUCUUGGCCUUUUUUGUGGGGCGGAGGGGGCAGUGGGAUAGGAUUCAAACCACAUGCAUCUAGCAGCAUUAGAAAUGGCUUCCUAUUGAACUGUACUAUGUACUUGUUAAAUGUAGUACAUUUCAAAAAAGCUUACUUACAACAAGCUUGCUCUUACUGUGUAUAACUUAUUUUAAAUACUAUUAUACUAUUUCCAAAAGAGGGAAAAAUUCAGGACCAAAAAUGACUGUCAUAAUAUUUGAAUUUAGCAUGUCACUGUGCUAUUGAUAAUGCAGUCAUGCCCCAUUAUCUGCAAUUUUAGUUACCCACGGUCAACCAUGGCUUGAAAAUAUUAGUAUCUGUCUUGAUUGUCAAGAGAGCACAUAACCUUUAUUACAGUAAGUACACUACUGAACUGUCCCACUGCAUUAUUGCUGUUAACCUCUUUUUUAAAAAAAAUAUUUUUUUAGUUGUAGUUAGACACAUUAUCUUUAUUUUUUAUGUGGUACUGAGGAUCGAACCCAGGACCUUGCACAUGCUAGGCGAGUGCUCCAUCGCUGAGCCACAACCCCAGCCCAUUAAUCUCUAAUUUUUAAAUUGAACUUUACCACAGGUAAUUAUGUAUAAAAGAAAACAGUGUACACAGAAUUUGAUACCAUCUAGGAUUUCAGGCAUCGAUUGAGGGCCUUGUAACAUAACCCUCUUGAAUAUGGGGGAAUAGUAUCUGGAAAUAUUAGGAUGCAAUACAAUGUGUCCUUGGACAUUUCAUCUAGUAACAGACACAACAUUUCCUAUGAUUACCUUGGCUCUUGAUUUCAGGUGUCGGAGAGUUUAGCUCCCAUCUUGCCCCUUCAGUAUGUCUGUGCACCCGACAGUGAACACACGUUACUGGCAGCCCCUGCGCAGUUUCUCCUGGAGAAGUUCCUUCAGCAUGCUGCAUAUAAACUCUUCCCCAAAGCCAUCCAUAACUUUAAGAGUCCUGUGCUGGCCAUUGACUGCUACCUUAACAUUGGACAGGAGGUAAAGGUGGGGGUGGCUAGUACUGUGCUUACCUACAUCCAUUUCUUUCCCAUUUAAUUUGGUUUGAAAACUUAAAUAGUGACAAAAGGAAGUCUAUAACGUACUCUGCAAAGGCUCACAUAUGAGGUAAUGGCAACUGUCCCUCCUCAUCCCUAUUUCACCUUUACAGAAUGAGCCAGUGACCAAUCAUAGCUUAGCUCAGAUGUCCUAUAAGAAUCCUACCUCAAAAAAAUAAAUAAAUAAAAUAAAAAAGAAUCCUACCUACCUCAAUGACAUUGGGCAGAAGCAAUUUCUAUCUCCCACCUGACUUGACAUUUAUUAGACACUAUUAUAAUUACAUGAAUCCAUUCCAUAAUACUGCAAUGUUCAGAGAAAGUACCUUAAGACCCAUUUGAUAUAAUAAUACUCUUGAUGUUAUCUAUAUAAAUUAUGUGUGUACCCCAGGUCUUCCAAUUCCACUAUCCCAGAGUCCAAAGCACUUAGUAUUAGAUAACCUCAAUACUACUCUUCUACUAACAGCAACUAACAUUUACUGAAUGCUAAGUGGUUUACAUUAAUUUAACUCACAAAUGCCUUAUGAAUCAGGUAACAUUUUUCUCAAUAUAAAUGAAUCUACUCCACAAUACUGUAAUUUACAUGAGUAACACUAAGGUGUAGCAAAAUACAUUUUCCCAGUGCCAUACAGCCACUAAAUAGAGAAGCCAGAAUGUGAACGCAAGCUGACUGGCCCACACAUUAGCCAUUCCACAGUUCUACUCCCAACUACUUUAUAACUUCACAAAAAUCACAGGGAAGUAUACAUUCUGCAUCUGCAAGCUUUAUAGAGCUAAAAUUUUAAAUUCAUGCAGUCUGCACCUCCUGGGGAUUGAACCUAGAUCCUUGUGCAUGCUGGGCAAGUGCUCCACCAUUGACAUACAAAAGCCCUGCCCUCAUGCUGUUUUAAAAUCCUACCCAACUGAAAAUUUUGUCUAGAUGAAAAGCUAAUUAAUUAAAAUUAUUUUUAUUCUCAAGUAACCUAAACAUUCUCUUUCCUAAAUAUACUUUUUAAAAAAUGAAAGAUAGUCCUUUUUAAAAUUUUAUAUUCUUUUUAUGGAGUUUUUCUCCUAAAAUGAAAUUAAUAUUAAAUCUCUGUCACAACAGACCUUUAUUAUGAAAAAUGGGAGACAUUUUAAACAGGUUAAAACUCGGUAUACUAAAAAGGAGAUGAAUAGCAUAAAUAACCACCACUCCUAACACUGAAAAAAAUUCAGCUUCUUUGUCUUACUGAAAAAAAGAGGAAGGCACUAACUCAUUCAACUAAAAUGCAGGUGAUUUGCUUGCUUUUGAAAUCCCCAUGCUAUUUCUGCUUGUUGCUUUCAGGUGGCCAUAUGCUACAUCAGCUCCAGACCCCAUUCCAGCAAUGUCAACUGUGAAGGGGUGUUUUUCAGUGGACUCCUUUUGUACCUCUGUGACUCUUUUGUAGGUGCUGAUCUUCUUAAGAAAUUUAAGUUUUUAAAAGGUAAAUCAAAUUAAGUAUCUUGAAUAUGAAUGUCACUGGUUCCCACUAGGAAAAAAUUCAGGUUUUUUUUUCUUUUUCUUUCUUUAAUGCAUAUUUUAACACUGAUUUUGGCCAAUAAUUUGGAUACUUGGUUAUCUGGUUAUCUUGAUUUUAAACCAGAGCCACUGGGGAAAAAAGAUCAUCAAAUCAUUGUUAUUUAUGACUAAAUGCAGGUGAACAGAGUUGUGACAACAUUAAAUACAGUUUUGCCACUGUUAAUUUUUGGAAGUAAUUUAAGAAUACAUAAUGCUCCUCCUUAAUUAAAUAGUUAAACAACUUAUGUUAAUGAGUCUACCCAUGUUUAUAGUAAUCUGAACAUAACAUUGCUUGGGUCAGACACCAGCUGCAAUAAAUGUGUAUAACUGCAUCCUCUGACAUAAACCCUUAGUUAUGAUUCUGGUACAGAAACUAAAGAUAAUUUUAAUAGGCAAAUUUAACUCUACGAUGCAUACCUAAGAACAAACUGCAGGUUAAGCAUCACAAAUCCUGGCAUGAUGGCUUUUGAGGUCAGUGGAAAAAAAAGGUUCAGAAAACGGUGUGUGGCAUAAGAAUAAAGAAAACUCCACUUAUUUGUGUACAUAUGUAGUUCUAAACUGGGAAGUUGGGAUGUGACUUUCAGAAGACAUUUGAUAUUGUCUGAAGAUAUUUUUUUUUUCGUUGCCACACUGGGAAAUGCUGCUGGCAUAUGGUGGGCAGAAGCCAGGGAUGCUGCUUCACAUUUUAAAAAGCACAGACUAGUCCCCCAAAACAAAGAAUUAUCCAGUCCAAAAGUGCUAUGGUUGAGAAACCCUAUUCUAGAGGACACACAAGACACACAGAUAGCACUGGUUACUACAGUUCAGUGAAUUCUCACUUUACAAUCUCAACUUUUUAAUUUGCAAAUCUACUUAGAAUAAAAACCUGAACAAUCCUGAUAUGCUACUUACCUAUAGAUUUCGUUCUAAGAAGUUUUGGGAAUACAUCAAAGAGAAAUAGUAAGGUUAUUAGUUCAAUCCAAGAGCCUAAGAUACAUUUUUGCCUUUUCCCUGAAGGUGCUACUCUGUGUGUCAUCUGCCAAGAUAGAAGCUCCUUACGCCAAACAAUUGUCCGCUUAGAGCUAGAGGACGAGUGGCAAUUCCGCCUCCGGGAUGAGUUUCAAACUGCCAACAGCAACGAUGACAAGCCUCUUUACUUUCUUACUGGACGUCAUGUAUGAGCUUUGGAAGAGACCAAAAAUUGCAAAGGGAUGCCUAGCUGGGGUGGGACAGAAACAAUUAUUGAGGGAUUUUUUUUUUUCUUUAAAGUACAAUCACUGUGGAGCAAAGUGCAACAUAUUUGUCUAUUCUCCAAAGAACUCCCCAAAUCUAACCAAGUCUUUGGGGACAUCACUCUCCUUCAGUUCUAAUUACAGGACCCUACAUUCAGGCGAACUCCACUGUAGGCAAUUAUGCAAUUACUUAAGAUGUGGUCUGCCUGUGGGAGCCUGAGGAGGAUAGACUUUGGAGAACAAACAUGGAGUUUGCAUUGGUUUUUUUCUACUAUACUGCAUUGGGGGAAAAACUGUCAGCAUUAGCUUGCUUGAAUGUGUUACAUGAGAUACACCAUUGGUGUGGAAAUAAUUGAAGAUUAACAUUUGAGGCCUGAACCCUCAGUUUCUCUUCAGAUCUGUACUUUGGUACAGUAUUACUCAGGGGUCUGAAAUGAUAGAAUGUAGAAGUUAUUUGUAUUUAAAAAAAGUAGUAGUUUUGUCUUUUUCUGUGCAGUGUUAGUUUAAGAUUUAUAAUCUUUUAUGUAUUGAAACUUUUGGCAAAAUUUCCACAGGAGUUAAGAGUUUACUAUUUAAAGUGAACAAACAAAUCAGUAAAUGCAGAGCAGGCAUUGUGUACAUUUAUGAAGAGUCUCCUAGCUUAAUUCCUUUGCUUUUCCCAUUCUUUAAAAGUUUCCAGUCUUAAAGCACACCAUGUCUAAGAGAAUAUGGAAUAGUGAUUAAUCUCGUUUAAGAACCUGAUUAAGCAGUUGGGCCAAUUAAGCAGCUUUUAGGAGUUAACCUGUACCCACCCUGUUUUGAUUGAAAAUAAGCAGCUAGCACUAGGCAAACCUAAAUGUCAAGCUGAGGCUCUGCUGUGGAGUAGAACCAGUCGUGCCCCCCGUUUCGCCCCCCAAACUCAAGCACAGCUUCCUUAAAAAAAAAAAAAAAAACAAUAUUAGCUGCCUUACACGGACAACACAGAAAGUGCUGGAAUGGGAAAUAGAACCAUGGAAAGAGAGAACUAUUUUACUUAAUUAUACCACUGACAUAUUUGUGAGGAGUAAAAAAGAUGCCAGGAGUUUUUGACUCAAAAUCAGUACAUGAUGUCUGACCAAUAUAAACAGUAGGAUUUCUCACCAAAUAUUUUAAUGAAGAGCAGAUUCUAGGAAAUAUUCUAGAAUAGUCUAUUUGAAGUUUAUACUUAUAUUACUCCGGUUCUCAUCAUUAAACAAUCUCUUUGAGAUUUUUUGAUUUGCCCACAUGUAUCACUUUAUCCCCACUUAAAAUGGCCUUUGUUACUUGAAUCUGUCUAGUGACCUGAAACUACUGAGAGGGGCCUACGAAGCCUGCAUUUACUUAGAACAAAUAGUGUUUUAUCUUGUGAUAACAAGGAGUUUACAGCUAGUGGAAAGAUGGAAUGUAUUAGAUUGAAAAUGGCUUGCAGAUCUCUUGGUUUUAAUAUAGCUACUUUUAAUGCUUUAAAUGUAUUUUGAAAUGAACAAUUCCUUUUAAUCCCCUUUUUGUCCUUCAAAGAAGACCUGCCUUAUUAUAUAUGCUUUAAAAACUUAGUAUAGCAGAAUUUUUAGCAAAGAGGUACGUUCUAAAGCAACUUGGUGUAGAUAUGAAUGUAUUUCACUUUUUCCUGUUUUGUUGAAAGGGCCUGAUGCAGAUGAUAUCAAAAAACCCACUGUUUGUGCAAUAUUCCAAUAACAUUUACUAUAGGGCAAAUAAAAUACUUGAAGUAGUUCUAAUUUUACCUGGGGCAGAUGGCCUCUCAGUGUUUGUUCUGGUUUUAUGUAUGAUUUCAUGGUCUCAAGGUUUUUUUAAGUUUCUUUAGAUGCAGGUACUCCAUGUUAGGGCUGCACUCUAAAAAUUCAAAUUAUUAUGAGUUCAGAACUACUACUCAACUCUGUGGAAGAGAAAUGCCAGAAUAAAGUCCAACACAUCAACUCGAUAGUGGAGAAAUUUAAGUUGACCUGCCUAAUUUUUCUUCUUUUUUUUUUUUUUUUGAAAGCCUCUUAAAUCACUUUAUCACUCUUAAUUCUUUAGAGAAUGUUAGGUCAUCUCUAAGGAGAAAAUUGCACAAGCACAGGACACCAUGAUUUGUUAGUGUAUGUGUUCAGUUUAUGCUUUUCCACCCUUUAAAACACUAGUGUGGAGUGAAUGGAUUCACUAGGCCCACACAAUAACUCACCUACACACCUGCUAAAAACUAUGGCAUGUAUGUAUGACACUUCACACAGGUUAAUACUAAAUGUAAACUAAAGAUUAGAAUUGUAGUUGUCAAUUUGGUUUGGCUGUAAUUUAUGCAAAUGCUUUUUGUGACUUUUAGAAAAAGGGGUACCUGUGUUACAUUAUUACUGUAAAAUUUUAACCAAAAUUUGGUGAAUUUCACUAGUCAGUCUACCUCACGUUUUGUUGAUGAUUCAAGUUGUCGUAAGUUGUGUCUACAGUAUGUUCUUGUCCUUUCAUUUAAUUUGGUGAAUGUAUUAAAAUUCUCUCCCACUCCCCACCCCCCAAAAUAGUUUGUUUUCUUUAAACUAAUUUUCUAUUAUGUUAAAAAAAAACAGAAUGUGCUCUCAGACUCUGACAACAUCCAAAAAAGCUUGGAAAUACCAAUAUUAUAGGAUGGAUGACUCAAAGAUUCUUCUAUUCUGGCACAAUAGUCCAAGAAAGUAGCAGAUAAAUAUUUGUUGAAUGAAAAUCUGUAGCUCAAAUACAUACACACACCUAAAGUAUCUAUAGACCCAUUUGUAGAGUUGCACAUAAUUAUAUAUGACAGACCUAGAAAUGAUUAAAGAAUUAGAAAUAUUCACACUACCUCCCCCAUCUUUUAUAGAUGGCAACUACACUCAGUUUGGUGUCCUACUCAGAAACACAGUGUUGGGUUUACUAGAACUGUGUAGUAUGAUACAAGGUACAUACUGUUAACUUCCAAUUUAUUUCUAAACUGCCUAAUUUUAUCAACUCUUGAACCCAUUAUACUCUCUUCUAGGCUAAAGGCCCCUUGUCAUUUACCUCAGGAGAGACAAUAAAUAUUUCUAAGCCUGAUAGCAGACUGACAGGAAACAAACUACCAGUUUUCCUUCUACAGCAUAUUCCCAAGCAGCCACCCUGAAAAGACUAAACACACCCAAGGCCAAAUCUUCACAUUCAACUACCUAGAUAGACCUGGACUAACAUCCUGGGAACAAACAUUUCUCAGGCUUCUCUUCACACAUGAAAACUUAUCCCCGCUUAAGCUUCCUCUGACUCUAGGAGAAUACUGCUAUAACUGAAGCCCUGGCCUCACUGGAAAAGUCAUCACCAAAGAUGAUUUCAGGAACAGUUAGUAAGGUCAAAGAAAAAGCCUUUCACAUAAUAAAUUCACUAUACUCUUAACUAGCAAGUUCUAAACUAAAGCAUCUACUCCAGGGCCUAUGACAACAGAUGGAACAAGUUCUAAGAAAGAAAAGGCAACCAGUAAGUCAUUCUCUGACCACUUCAUUCCAUAAGUAGCUCAUGUAUUUUAUUUUUACUAGGAGGGUGGUAGGGGUGAAGGACUGCCUUAAAACAGAAUUCUUCCCGUUUUCUGUUAGAAGGCUCAAGGGUCAUGAGAAAGAGACAGUUCUGUAGUCACUACCCUAGGAAUCAACUCAGCAAUCUUAACCCUAGGUGAAGUGUGGGUGGUCAGGAAUAUGGCUAUAUUUCCAUCCAAAGGGAUAAGACUCCCUUGCUGAGCAACUCCAAGUAAGUAAGAACAAUUAAAAUACCAUUACAAUGGGGCUG